rnacentral:rRNA from 1 species
UACGAACCGUGCAAACGUUGUUCGGAAUCACUGGGCUUAAAGGGCGCGUAGGCGGGCCAGCCAGUCUGUGGUGAAAUCCUCCAGCUUAACUGGAGAAGUGCCGUGGAUACUGCUGGCCUCGAGGAGGGUAGGGGCAUCUGGAACGGUCGGUGGAGCGGUGAAAUGCGUUGAUAUCGACCGGAACUCCGGUGGCGAAGGCGAGGUGCUGGGCCCUUUCUGACGCUGAUGCGCGAAAGCCAGGGGAGCAAACGGG